ACAUAGUGGAAGAGAGAAAGAGACAUGCAUGAAUGUGAAAGACAAUGGGGAGAUAAAAACCAGGAAAAAAACUUGGUGAAUCAUUGGAUAUGAAAGGAAGAAAUUUUAAAAAGCAGUAAGAAAGUCCCUAUUUUACAAUAGUACAAUUGAGACAGGAGACACUGGAAACAGAGCCAGAUCCGGUGAGAGGGAACACAGUGACAUUACAAUGCUGCACACCACAGUAACAGAAGAGUUGAACAACUUGUAUAAAAGAUGUGACAAACACAGAGAGGAAGGAGAGACAACACUGCGUUUACAACGACCGGAGCCAGGGACUUUACCUAGAGAAAGAUGAAGUAGCCAAGGGAAAAGGAGAAGUUUGAGGCAAACAAAGCUUCACCAAGGAACUCGUUUGCUGUUUGCCCAAAGCACAUGUUCAGUAGGACGUGUUCCCAGCACCUGGACUGAAGCAUGCAGUUUCUAUUAAGUUGCCUAAGAAAGAAGCUCAACAGCCAGAGUACUCACAGAUUCUGAAGUUUUCCAACCUUAAGACUCUCUGAGAUGCCAGAAAUGCGUGGAAAUUCAGACUGAAGUAAGAUUCUCGUAUUGUUCUUCAUUGGGAUUCUGGACAAACGGUAUGAAAUAUUUUCCUAUUGAUGAGAGCAUUUCAGGCAGUUGCUGCUUGGCGUACCCCUAACACAUCCUUUCUUUGAGCACCAGUGACCACCUUGAACUGAGAGCAGCAAGAGCAGCUGGUAGACCGUGGCCACAGGAGCUCCCUUUUCCCUCAUUUUCUUCCUCAAGAGCAC